rnacentral:tRNA from 1 species
AAGUAAAGAAGUAUUAUACAAUUUAAUUUCGACUUAAAUUUAAGGUUUUUAACCUCUUACUUG